rnacentral:lncRNA from 1 species
UACCUGGAACAGCACGCAGUACUUACAUGUGGACUGAAUGAAUGAAUGUCUUGCAGAAACUUUCAAAGCUCCAUAAUAUCACCAGGCAGCAAAUCCUCACGAAGACAGCAUAUAUGCAGACUAAUCAUAGUAGCAGAUAUUUACCUGGGGCUUACCACAUGCUGAAACACUUGACAUUUAUAUUUAAUUCUCUUAAUCCUGACAGGGUGGUGAGGAUGGGAAUUCUAUUACAUUAUUCUCCCAUUUUACAGAUAAGGGCAUGGAGCACAGUGGGAAAAGUAGGUUGCCCGUGACCACACAGGGGAUAAGGGGUUGCCUGCCUGCACACAGGCAACGUAACUCCCAACCCUAAGCACUGCUCACUAAGCUGGGCUGCUAACCUCAGAGAAAGCCCCGUCCUGGGACAUAAAGGAGAUCGCGUCCACGCUGGCUUCUGGAAGAUCCACCCUGUGAAGCUUCCGGUUGUCUAUUUUGGUUUCUUUUAUACUGUUUGUUGAGCUCUGGUCAUAUGUUCAACGUCAGGAGGAAAGAGAACCAAUUGUGAUCUGGCAAGAAUUAGGAGAGAGCCAAAGAAAGAAGAUGGAGGCAGCCAAUGAAGACCUCCAACAGAACCACUGUCUUCUGUGUCUGCCCAUUCGUCCAUUUGUUGUUCACUCCACAGACGUUUUUUGAGCACCUAACCACGGCCAGGCACCAUUCCAGGCCCAUUUGUCUAAACACUACAAAGGCACAGGGCAUGGUGGGAGCAUAUGGAGUGCCAAGGCUAGAAGAAGGACGCUGCUUUAUAGGCUCCAUGUGGGUGUCCGGGAGCAGGGUGUUCCAGGCAGUCGGGGCAAGGAGCGUGUCUCGGACGAAGGGAGCAGUGUGGAGGGGCGACGUCAGGGGAAAAGGGAGAGCCUUACAGGUGCUGUAAGGGGUUUGGAUUUUACUCUGAGUGGGCGGGAAGCCAUGGUUUGACUUACGUGUUUAGAGAGUCUGGCUGCUCAGAGACCAUGGGAGCAGAGCAGCUGUGGCAGUGGUUCUGCCCCCUAGUGGGCAGUGGACAAUGUCUGGAGGUGUUUUUGGUUGUCACAACUUGGGGUGGAGGCAUGCGCUCCAGGCAUCUGGUGGAUAGAGGCCAGGGAUGCUGCUAACCGUCCUACAGUGCACACAAAAGCCCCACAACAGAGAAUUACCCAGCCCCGAAUGUCGGUAGUGCUGAGGUUGAGAAAUGCACAGUUAGGGGAUCACUAGAGUGAUCUAGGUGAGAGAUUUACUCAUUAAAUAGCUACUGAGCACCUCCUAUGUGCCAGAUGAUGUACCACGAGCUGAAGAUACCACCACAAACAAAACAGACAAGGUCUGUGUGCUCCCCAAGCUUAUGUUGCAGGGAUGGUGGGAGCUCAGAACAGGAUGCAGGUAGCAGGGUGGUGAGGAUGGUUAGAUUUUCAAAACAUCUUUUGAAGGUGAAACUGACAGGACUUCCUCAGGACUGGAUGUGCAGUGUGAGAGGACGAGGAGUCAAAUUGACCCCAAGGCUUUAGCAAUUAGAACAGGGUUGACACUUACUGAGACGAGGACCACUGGGAGAGAAAAUGAUUUUGGGGGUUGGGGAAAUCAGGGGUUUCGUUUUGGAGAUAUUAAGUGGAGAUGAGGUCAACUGGCUAUUCUAGUUCUAGUCCACUGGUUUAAAGAAAAAGAUCUCUUUUGCAGGAGACAAAAUUUUAGAAAUUGGCAAGUAUGAAGAAGAGCUCUCAGGGAUUCAGUGUAGAUGUAAGAAUAUGGCCAAGAGAUCCUCGCACCAAGCCCGAGCUCUCCACCACGGGAAGCUGGGGAGGAGCAAGCAAGAGAGGAUGAGGUGGCAAGAUCUCCACACUAAUUUCUCCCUCAGAGGAAAUACGACAUCCACGGAAGCCUCUGCCACAUCCAAAGAAGGAAUUAAUCCAUCAGUACUCAUUGAGUGUCUACUAUAGUCACAGCACUCUGCUCCUGGUUGAAAAUAUACAAGAGAAAGAUUAAAAGACCCAGUUCAAUACGUCUGUCUGCGGAAGGGGAAAUGAAGCAUCUGCUUGGUGCCUCCAUUAGGAAGAUGACUUACGACAGGCAGCUGUCAGGCAAGGCGUCUGCAUUCUGACGGAGCCGGCUAGACCAUGGAGCUGAAAGCCUUCAAGAAGCCAAUGAAAGUCCCAGAACCUUAGCCCAGCCCUUCCCCACCCGCUCCCCCAGAAGCAACGUGAACAUGGGUGCCCACAUACACACAACUGUGAGAAUAAUUUCAGCGUUUUCGAGCUUCCUCACCCCCAAGGUCCAGACCCGGAUGCCACAUCUAUCAGUUCUGAGCUGUGUGAUGUGGGUGGAAUUACUCGCUGUCCUCCUUUGUAAGAUGGGCAUGCACGAACCACACCCAGCUCAUGGGUUUGUUCUGAAGAUGACAUGAGCAGCUGGAGCUGGAGCCCUGGGCACGGCACCUUGCCCAUACUGGGAGCUGGUCAUUAUUAGCUGGUAUUCUCAUGCCCAGGCCAGGAGUUUAAGAUUCCCC